AUUAUUUUGAACCAUCUGCACGUGCAACUGAAACAGUUCAGUCAGAUGACAGUGAGGUAGCUUAUGCCGAAACAACAUUUUUACCUAAUGUACAAAACAAGAAGCGUAAUCAGACAGAAGAGACGAUAUACUCCACCGUCAAUGGACACUGAUCAAACAAGCAGCAGUCUCUCAUUUCACCACAAUGGCUUUGCACACCUGCAUCUGUCAGCAUCACAACACUUGUGCUUUCUAACAUAGAAGAAAAUAUUUAAAAGAACUUUGGGGUCCAAGCAACAACAACAUUGGGGACCACAUUCACGCUUAUUGUAUAAAAUCUGUUUAAAGAAUAUUGUAUAAAAAAGAAAUGUAAAAUAUCCUAAUGUAUCAUAUAUAUAUAUCAUACAUGAUUGUGAAUAAAUGAUGACCAGCUGAUCAGAUUGUGGCAGAACUAGCAUGUCUAAUAUAUAGG